UACGAAGGGGACUAGCGUUGUUCGGAAUUACUGGGCGUAAAGCGUGCGCAGGCGGUUCGACAAGUCCGAUGUGAAAGCCCCGGGCUCAACCUGGGAAUGGCAUUGGAAACUGGCGGGCUGGAGUGUGGCAGAGGGGGGUGGAAUUCCGCGUGUAGCAGUGAAAUGCGUAGAGAUGCGGAGGAACACCGAUGGCGAAGGCAGCCCCCUGGGCUGACACUGACGCUCAGGCACGAAAGCGUGGGGAGCAAACAGG
rnacentral:rRNA from 1 species